UACGGGGGGGGCAAGCGUUGUUCGGAAUUACUGGGCGUAAAGGGUUUGUAGGUGGCCAACUAAGUCAGACGUGAAAUCCCUCGGCUUAACCGGGGAACUGCGUCUGAUACUGGAUGGCUGGAGUGUGGGAGAGGGAUGCGGAAUUCCAGGUGUAGCGGUGAAAUGCGUAGAUAUCUGGAGGAACACCGGUGGCGAAGGCGGCAUCCUGGACCGACACUGACGCUGAGGAGCGAAAGCCAGGGGAGCAAACGGG
rnacentral:rRNA from 1 species